AUCAAGCAUCACAAAGGAAUAUCCUUUAUUCUUUUCUCAACUCAACCACCAAAUUAAUUCAUUCUUAUCUUUCCAACUCACCAUCUCUAUUUCCAACCACUCAUUCAAAUUUCAAAUUUCUACUCUAUCUUUCUCUCUCAUUUAAAUUAUUCAAUUUUCUGAUCACUUUCUCUCUCUUACGUGGGCCCCACCCCAAGAAGAAAUCAAUUCACUCUCUCACUCACUUCACCCACUCACGCUCUCUCUCUCUCUCUCUCUUCUCCCUCACUCGACAUCUCUCCCUCACUUUCUUCUUCUUCUCCAUUUUUCUUCUCCUCCAUUUUCCUCUGCAACCCUAAGCCACACACCACCUCCUUCUCCUCUCAUGGCCGCCGCCACCCAAGGCCAAGCCGCCACCACAGCGAGCCUUCUCCGCUCACGCGAACCACCACUUCCAUGCCUCUUCACCGCGAACGCACCACCACCAUAGGUGACCCCCGCCGCCUCUCCUCAGUUCUCCAGCAAGCAUGGCGGCCACAACCGCCAUCACCCACUCCCAGCGCCAUGAACGACGCCACCAACGCAAGGACAAGAGAGAAAACGAAACCCUAAAAACCGCCACCUUCCAACUCCGAUCUCCGGCGAACCACUGAGUUUUUGGAGAAACCAACCACACCAUGGAACUCCCCUCAACGUGCGCUGCAAAACCCCUGAAGAAAUUUUGGAUUCCGACCACCUUCGCCGGAAACCGCCGCCAGCCACCGUGAACCACCGUCUUCUCCGGCCAACCUUCGCCGGAGAUGUCACUGAACUCAGAACCAGGAAGCUCUCCUCCUCCUCUUGCUGAAUUGAUUAUCAAUUUUGGUGUUGUUCAACAAUGAUGGUCCUCAGAGGAAGGCAGAAGCUGCUGUUACAGAAGAUGAAGAAGCAAAUUCAGAACCUUAGCCAUGAGGCUUAAGGUAGAAAACGAAAUAUUUUUCUGUGGUAUCGUUUUAAUUCUUGUAGGGGCUGAAAAUGUUUUUGAAAAUGUAAGGGCAUUGGAGAUGGUUAAUCUCUAGUUAGUUCUGUUUUUGAUGUAUUGAUUACCUCUCGAUGAGCAUGGGUUCAAUAUUAGAUUAGGAGAAGUUAUGCUAUUGUUGUCCUGUGACUAUAGUAGCUGCUGUUCUGUGAAAUUCGUAGGUUUAAUGACCGAAUUUGAAGAAGUAGUCUUCAUAAGAAUUGUAGCAUUUUCUGUUAGCAAACUUUUGCCACUGGUUUCAUGUCA